rnacentral:rRNA from 1 species
AUAUGCCUACAACAUAGUGUUAAUGCACUAGAUCCCAUUAGAACUUCACAGUUAAGUGCACUUAGACUAGAGUAGUAUUGGGAUGGGUGAUUUCCCAGGAAGUCCUAGUGUUUUACAUGCC